rnacentral:snoRNA from 1 species
AUUUUGUUAUGUGGACACUUUCGCACUAUCUCCUUAAACCUCUCCCAAGCUUCAAAAAAGGUUUCAGUCUCGUUCUAACAAAAGUUAGCUGAUGAGAAAUAUU